rnacentral:rRNA from 1 species
GUGGGGAAUAUUGGACAAUGGGCGAAAGCCUGAUCCAGCAAUGCCGCGUGAGUGAUGAAGGCCCUAGGGUUGUAAAGCUCUUUUACCCGGGAUGAUAAUGACAGUACCGGGAGAAUAAGCUCCGGCUAACUUCGUGCCAGCAGCCGCGGUAAUACGAGGGGAGCUAGCGUUGUUCGGAAUUACUGGGCGUAAAGCGCGCGUAGGCGGUUUUUUAAGUCAGAGGUGAAAGCCCGGGGCUCAACCCCGGAAUUGCCUUUGAAACUGGAAAACUAGAAUCUUGGAGAGGUCAGUGGAAUUCCGAGUGUAGAGGUGAAAUUCGUAGAUAUUCGGAAGAACACCAGUGGCGAAGGCGACUGACUGGACAAGUAUUGACGCUGAGGUGCGAAAGCGUGGGGAGCAAACAGGAUUAGAAACCCGUGUAGUCC